GAUGAACGCUGGCGGCGUGCCUAAUACAUGCAAGUCGAGCGAACAGACGAGGAGCUUGAUCCUUUGACGUUAGCGGCGGACGGGUGAGUAACACGUAGGUAACCUACCUAUAAGACUGGGAUAACUUCGGGAAACCGGAGCUAAUACCGGAUAAUAUUUCGAACCGCAUGGUUCGAUAGUGAAAGAUGGCUUUGCUAUCACUUAUAGAUGGACCUGCGCCGUAUUAGCUAGUUGGUAAGGUAACGGCUUACCAAGGCAACGAUACGUAGCCGACCUGAGAGGGUGAUCGGCCACACUGGAACUGAGACACGGUCCAGACUCCUACGGGAGGCAGCAGUAGGGAAUCUUCCGCAAUGGGCGAAAGCCUGACGGAGCAACGCCGCGUGAGUGAUGAAGGUCUUCGGAUCGUAAAACUCUGUUAUUAGGGAAGAACAAACGUGUAAGUAACUGUGCACGUCUUGACGGUACCUAAUCAGAAAGCCACGGCUAACUACGUG
rnacentral:rRNA from 1 species